UACGGGAGGUGCAAGCGUUGUUCGGAGUGACUGGGCGUAAAGCGCACGUAGGUGGGCUUGUAAGUCGGAUGUGAAAUCCCCGGGCUUAACCUGGGAACUGCAUCCGAAACUAUAAGUCUUGAAUGCUUCAGAGGUUGGUAGAAUUCCUGGUGUAGGAGUGAAAUCCGUAGAUAUCAGGAGGAAUACCGGAGGCGAAGGCGGCCAACUGGGAGUGCAUUGACACUGAGGUGCGAAAGCGUGGGGAGCAAACAGG
rnacentral:rRNA from 1 species